UGAUAAGCUAUCUAUUCACCAAUUCCAGCCCAUCAUCAGUCGAGGGGUGCUUCCCGGAGUGCAAGCUCCCAGCACAUCUAGCCAGUGCUGGAUGGCCAAGCUUCUGGCCCAGGCAGAGUCAGAAGGGCUUGCAGUAGAAAGCUAUCAGUGCACAUGGAACUGCUAAACUCAACCUUCAGCUCACACAAUGGAAGUCAACAAAAUGAGGUAAUGAUGCUACCACCUAGCCAGCCAUGGAUCUUAAGAGUUUGUGGAGGUAAAUUCAUUCUGUUACAGCCAAGGUAAUUGAUUUUUACUUUGAGAAUUAAAGACUUUCUUUUUUAAAAAAGGAGAAGAAUGUAUA
rnacentral:lncRNA from 1 species